GAUGAACGCUGGCGGCGUGCCUAAUACAUGCAAGUCGAACGAAAAUACUUUAUCACCGCUUGCUUGCACUCACCGAUAGACGGGUGAGUGGCAAACGGAUAAGUAACAUGUGAGCCAGCGACACAUAAGAGAGGGAGGACACUAUGCAACAGGUUCUAAUACCGCAUAAGCAUCAUUACUGCAUGGUGACUUUGUAAAAAGUUACUGUAGUACCCGCGGCGCAUUAGCUAGUUGGUAAGGUAAUGGCUUACCAAGGCAAGGAUGCGUAGCCGAAUUGAGAGGUUGAUCGGCCACACUGGAACUGAGACACGGUCCAGACUCCUACGGGAGGCAGCAGUAGGGAAUCUUCCGCAAUGGGCGAAAGCCUGAUGGAGCAACGCCGCGUGAGUGAAGAAGGUCUUCGGAUCGUAAAACUCUGUUGUUAGGGAAGAACGUGUGUGAGAGUAACUGUUCACGUCUCGACGGUACCUAAUCAGAAAGCCACGGCUAACUACGUG
rnacentral:rRNA from 1 species